CUGCUCAGCAAAUUCCUCGAUUUGAAAUUACGAUCACAGGUUGGAGUGCUACUUAAAAUAAUUUUGCCAAAUGUUCCAUCUCGCUGCGUUGAUGAAUAUAAUGGAUGAAAAUUUAAAGAGAAAAAAUUUAAGAAUUCACUUUGUUGAAGACAAAAAGAGAGCGGGCGAGAGAGAGAGAGAGAGAGAGAGAGAGAGAGAGACUGCAUCCACGGCCUUCAUGUGGACACCUGAGGGAUUCUCUCCCACAGCAAGCUGGCCCAGUGCUGGACUUCUGGAAGCGUUCCCCUGGUGGGGAGAUGGGGCUGCUGUCAGGCCUGGCCGGCCACAGAUGGAGGGGGCAGAGGUCAGGGCGGGUGUUGGGUUUGUUUAAGCGUGAGUCAGAGGCAGGGUGGGGGUAGACCCUCGGUGUCCGAUUUCCAAUUUCCUGUUCGAGUCACUGAUGGGCACUUCUCGCCGGCCCAGCCAGCCUUUUAUGCACACCGAUCCGCAGAACAAAGGCAGGCAAGAAGAGAGCCACAAAUAACCCGACAGGCCAGGUCUUCCUUCACUAAGGUAGAUUCCUCUCUCCGACUCAGGGAGGCCGGGCCCAAAGCAGACCGCCGAGUGUUGCCCGGAGAUCACACGAGGCCUAGCACCGGGGCUCCUGGCUUCCUCCCCUCGGUGGGGACCUGGCCCCGGCCGUAGCCUCACGCUAGCCUAUCCAUUGGGUUGGCCCAGUGCUCAGGGGCCCUCCAGGCGCCUGGGGCUCAACGAACCUGGCAGACAGGCCUCGAUGAGUUCAAACAUGGGGUCUUGCAUCACACUGGAUUCUACCAACUCAAGUGGACUCCGUGUAAGACACUUCCCUCAUUUUCUGAGGCUUCCUCUGUGUUUGGGAAGUAGGUGGGGAGGGAUGAGCAAGUCCUGAGCACAGAGAGGGUGGUGAGAGUCUCUCUCAAGUUCUUCCACAGCCAAAAAGCCCUCACGACAAGGAGGCACUUCUGCCAGCAGGGGCCCACGGUCAGGCCUGCCUCUGCACAAGGAUUCCGGAAAACCGAUAAAGGCCAUGUGCCUCCAAGGUCACCUUCAAAGCAAACUGCUCUCUCAAAAUCUGUUCCACCGCCCUGUAUGAGUCUUGCCAUUCAUGGGAACCCAGCCCCUCUGAAAACAGCCCCAGCUUGUUGAGGGUCUAUUUAUUUGGCUCUGUGUCCUUCAAGAACACAAAGGUGAUGUCUUCAGUUGUGCUGCAUCAUGAUAAGCUGGCCUGGUGAGCUUAAGGGGAGCCCCGUGUACUCUCCCCAAGAUGAUGUUUGCACCCAGCCUUGCAAAACACUGGAAAGAAACGAUGGCUUCCUCAGGGUCUCCUCAGUCUUGGAGGCAGAGAGGCCAGGGUGUGGCAGACUAUUCCAGACCCAUCACUUCCCAGCAGGGUGAUGCUGGGGAGGUUCCGUCUCCUCAUCUGUUGAAGGAGCACGAUUCUGUGCGUGUCACCAGGUAGCAGUGGGAGCUAAAGGAGCCCCGCUGUUGGUAAGCAGGAGUCUUUCCAGCUAUUUCCACCAGAAAUGGCAGCGGAGCAGGGCAGAAGGAAGCACCCAUCUCCAGGUCAGGGCCGAAGGGGAAGGAGUCUUUACAUACAGGAAUGCUACUGGUCUCUGUCACACCCUCAACCUCCAGCUUUGCUCGAAGGUCCGAUUACCAGCUUGUCUCCAACGUAUGACCACCCCCCCAACCCAAGCCCAGCCCAGUCCAGAGCAGCCCUGUGGUGGCUCCACUCCCAGGCCCGCCUCGUGGGCUGCUGGGGGUCACAGGCAGAGGCAGGGGACAUCUCACUACACUGUCUAUGGACACAUCUCUCCCCGUCUGUCAUCACUCUUUCGACCCCCAAAGAAUGCCUGAACACUUGGCUUCUCCAGCCUCUUUUGGAGGAAAGAAAUGUCUUAGGUUCCUUUAACUUUGGGCCACGCUGUCUCCCUUCUACCCCGGCUCACCCAGUGCACAGGAGGAAUGGCCGCCCCGUGGAAGGAGGAUUCUAUCACUGACAGAGUUCAGAAUCACCGGUGCAUGGCAAUUAGAGAUUUCAAAAGCGGUAAGCUCUUGAGAGAGUGCACCCCUCAUGGCACACCCACCCCCGCACCCCUCAUCUCCUGGGUGCCCCCCCUCUUUCUGCUCCUGAUGCUCUUAUCACAAAGAGCGAUAUGCACUCCUGCUCACAUCUCUGCUACAGGAGCUGUCGGGAGAGAAGCUUGUGAGAACUCAAGAAAAGGGUGCUCUCCUUCUCCCUGGAAGUUAUUUUUGGGCCCAUUGGGCAAGCAAAGAAAUGACUCCUCUGCAGAGAUCAUCACAGACAUAUGAGAAGGGUCCUGGGGGCCUCCUUUUUCUUCUUGUUUUUUUUUUUUCCUUUGUUUGCAGCUCACCACAUUUAAUGAGGAAGUACUGACCAUAAGGAGAGGAAACUUUCACCCCAACCACUCCCAGGACCCGCGUCCCCAUCAGCAGUGAGGUAAGAACAUUCUUUUAUUCUAGCCCUUCUGCUCCAUCCACUCAUGUGGAAGCAAACAGGGAAAGCACGGAUGAUGAAGUCACAUUUUGUACCUUGGACAGGUGACUUCCUCGAGAAACUUCUGGAAAGCAAAAUGAGAAGCUUUACUCCACACAAUCAAAAUGACUUAAGUCAUACGUAAUCCCAACAGCUUG
rnacentral:lncRNA from 1 species